AGCGAACACUGGCGGCAGGCCUAACACAUGCAAGUCGAACGAACCUUUCGGGGUUAGUGGCGGACGGGUGAGUAACACGUGGGAACGUGCCUUUAGGUUCGGAAUAACUCAGGGAAACUUGUGCUAAUACCGAAUGUGCCCUUCGGGGGAAAGAUUUAUCGCCUUUAGAGCGGCCCGCGUCUGAUUAGCUAGUUGGUUGAGGUAAUGGCUCACCAAGGCGACGAUCAGUAGCUGGUCUGAGAGGAUGAUCAGCCACAUUGGGACUGAGACACGGCCCAAACUCCUACGGGAGGCAGCAGUGGGGAAUCUUGCGCAAUGGGCGAAAGCCUGACGCAGCCAUGCCGCGUGAAUGAUGAAGGUCUUAGGAUUGUAAAAUUCUUUCACCGGGGACGAUAAUGACGGUACCCGGAGAAGAAGCCCCGGCUAACUUCGUG
rnacentral:rRNA from 1 species